CUAAGCGCGAGGAAGACAACGGUAGCAGAGAAGUGACAGUGAAGAUCUGAUCGGGAGAGUAUACAAGAGAUCUCAUCGUUGUGACAUUCCACAUUGUCUCCAGUUUGGGACAAUCACUCAAUUACAGAGGAAGACGAAUGGUGACCCUGAAGAGGCACAUCCUCAUUUAAGAAAAAAGAAAGAUGUCGAGUCCAGUCAAUCUAAGGAUUGUUUUUGGUGGGGAUGAAGAUGCAAGAAAGCUUGCACUUAAGACAGGAAUCCCAAAGUCUGUGGAUGAACUUGUCCUUGAAAUAAUGACUGUUUUUGGUGUAAAGCAAAAUUUCAGGCUCCAGUACAAAGAUAAGGACUUUGGAAAUGAAUACAUGAAUCUCACAUCAACCACUCAAAUUGAAGACAGGGAUACCCUGAAAGUGAUUUUUCUGUCAACUGAUGACUUUAACUCCUGCAUGCAUGAGACUG